rnacentral:lncRNA from 1 species
UCAUUAUUAUUAUAAACAAAAUAAAUUUUGAAUGAACAAAGUUAUUAUAAAUCAAUAAUAAAAAUUAUUAAAUCAGUUUUGUUCAUAAAUCUUUCAAGAGAAAUUUCUUUUUUCUUUUAAAAUUUUUUGUUGUUUGUGCUCUCCACACUGGGCACAUUGCCAUUAUUCCGCGGCCAUGGUUGUAUAAAGUUUGUGGAAUAUGGAAAUGCCGAUGGACUUCCUCCUUGGAAAAAACUAAAAACUACAGUAUAUUUAAUCCAAACUGGAGAGAGUAUGAAAUUACAAAAAUUUAUGCUAAGACAGAUACCUUUAACAAAGCAGAAAAUAUUCAAGCAGACCAAUCUGGCAAGUCUGAUGGGUCAGCGGUAACACUGACUGAUGUUGAAAAUUCUAUAACUUCAGCUACAAUACCGCUUGGUGCUACACCUUACAAAAAAAGAUUAAGAACGCCGCCAAAUAUA